UCAUCUGGUCAUAAGGAUGGUUCCUGUCGUCUUGCAAGGGAGGGCGGGAAGCAAAAGGGAAUGUGAAAAGGCGGACCCAGACAGGGCGCCUCUAUCGCAGCCGACCCCGCGACUGUAGAGCGGCGAGGUAUCCCCAUCCGAUCUGUUGUUUCUGGUGCGACCGGACCGCAUGCUGCGGACGGGUAUCGGAUACGGUAGAGAGGAAAAGCCACUGGCGUGGCAUUGUGAGCAACCAGGGCGGACGCCUCCAGAUCUACGAAUCGUCCGCUCUUUACAAUGCCGUGACGCGCCGGGAAGGCGAGGGGACACCGAUGGUCCAACCGGACCGAAACCGCGAGCCAGGAGACCUGCCAUCCGUGCCGGGCCCCU
rnacentral:ncRNA from 2 species